rnacentral:lncRNA from 1 species
CCCACACCAUUAAUCCGACCCAGCCGUCACCAACCCCCAACCCAAACCCAGCAUCUCCGCCGCCCCAUCCUUCUGCUUCUUUUCCACCAUCCCCACCUUCGUUCCCUACACCCAUUUCUCAUUCAGACCCCUACACUCAUCCCUGUUUUUACUUUUUGAUUUUUUGUUUCUUUUCCAAUUACAGUGUAGAUCAUAGAUCAAUUAGAUAUACCCAGAUUUUGAAUUUCUUUGUUCAACAAAAUCCUCUGUUCAUAGCUCAAUCAAACCCAUUUUUUCUUUUUGUCAAAAUUCGAUUUUUUGUAGCUCAAUUGUGGACCAUUUCUCUCAAUUUCUGAUAUGGACGAGUUUGGUGUCUUAACCGAACAAUAUGGGUUGAAGCCCCAAGGAAAAUCGGCUCCAAUGGCAGCAUCCAAACGAUCCACAAGCACCAACGGCACCCAAGCCUGGAGUUCAAACAAAGGGAAAUCGGGGGGAUGGGGUCUGGGUUGUUGGAUUCGUUUGGGGGUGGGGUGGGGGUGUGUGGGGGGGUUUCUAUGGAUGAUUUUUUUCUUUCUCUUUUCUGUAGUUGCUG